rnacentral:rRNA from 1 species
AUCCGUGUCUAUCUGUACCCUGUUGCUUCGGCGUGGCCACGGCCCGCCGAAGACUAACAUUUGAACACUGUCUGAAGUUUGCAGUCUGAGUUUUUAGUUAAACAAUAAUUAAAACUUUCAACAACGGAUCUCUUGGUUCCGGCAUCGAUGAAGAACGCAGCGAAAUGCGAUAAUUAAUGUGAAUUGCAGAAUUCAGUGAAUCAUCGAGUCUUUGAACGCACAUUGCGCCCCCUGGUAUUCCGGGGGGCAUGCCUGUCCGAGCGUCAUUGCUGCCCUCAAGCACGGCUUGUGUGUUGGGCUUCCGUCCCUGGUAACGGGGACGGGCCCAAAAGGCAGUGGCGGCACCAUGUCUGGUCCUCGAGCGUAUGGGGCUUUGUCACCCGCUCCCGUAGGUCCAGCUGGCAGCUAGCCUCGCAACCAAUCUUUUUAACCAGGUUGACCUCGGAUCAGGUAGGGAUACCCGCUGAACUUAAGCAUAUCU